rnacentral:misc_RNA from 1 species
UCACCCCUCAAGCCCCGUGCUUGGUGUUGGACGGCCGGUCGCGGCUGGCGACCCCUCUUAAAGACAAUGACGGCGGCCUGUGGUUCCCCCGGUACACUGAGCUUUUCACGGAGCAUGUAUCGGACGAGGGCGCCCGGGACCCGGUCUUCUCCUUUAACUAGGAAAUUUUUAAU